UCAUCCCUAUUUAUCAAAGUCCAGGAAAAGAGAUUUCUGUCUCGAGUAAUUUCUCAAUGGGAUAUAAAGGCAGCCUUUGACAAAACAGGAGAAAAAAAAUCUCUUAAUACCAUUUAAUUUCCUUUAGCCAAAGCAACCAAAAUACUUUCAGACUACAGAAGCUACCAAUUAUGUAACAUUGUUACCAAAAAAAGUCCAUAUUUUCCAGGAGUCUGGAGUUGAAUCUGCCCCUGUAAUCAGAGCAAAGUGUUGCUUGGUUGUAAACAAACACAUCUCUACUCAGGAGUGUUCCUCAGAUACCCAGAGUUACACACCAUCAGUGGAACAUUAGAGGAACAUCUUUUUUGGCCUUAUUUGGAGCAGAUCAUUCCCAUGGAAUAGGUAGCCCAAGGCUUCCUGCUGCUACUGAACCAUCUGGGUUUUCUUCAAAGAAAAGAAGGAACAAAGGAUGUGGUCCCUGAUAGCUGUCCCAGGGACUGGCACGUUGCCCCAGCUGGUGGGGCAGGUACAGGAGUGACAAGACAUUCAGCUCAGUUCAGCUGCAGAUGAAAGCUGUAGCUUUCCAUGGAAACCACUGGAUUUAUUCUCUACCUUUGGCUACAGGCAAUUGCUUUGCCUCAUGCAAUUAUGUGUGGUAAUUAGAAUUAGAUUGUGUAAGGAAUAGCAAAAAAACAUGAGUACGUCCUUUGUGUUUGUGGCCUGCUCUUGUAAGAGUGAUUAUGAUUUUUUUAAGUUUCUUUUUUUUUAGCCUGACCUAAGCCUUUCUGUUUGGUUGAUCAAGCAUAAGAAGGGAAAAUAAAAGUAUAUUUUCAGCA